GAAAACCAGAAUUUCCUUCUUUCUUCUCUGAGAUCUGGCUGGAAGAUACUGCUGUGUCUCAUUGAGCCAGCAGUAAUAUUCAGGCAUCCCAGAAUAUUCUAUUGGUGCAUAGUAGUUCCUGGAUUGUCAUUGACCUCCUUGGAAGUCCUUUGGCUCCUCGAGGCUUAGCUGAUGAAGUAGAGCCUGCAAAACUGGCAUACAAGAAGACAUAUUGGUUACACAAGAGAAAAAUUCAUGGAGGAAAUAAAGUGAAGAAUGGCAUGCUUCAAUUUGCAUUCAGAUUCUGCCAGUUUCUUCUUUGGAGGUGGAUAGACUUUUUUUGUCAUGAAUCUCUUGGAGUUGUCCUAGAGUCUUACAUUCCUGAUAAUAGUUAAGUGAUUCACAAGUUGAUCAUCAUUCUUCAUUGCUGUUACUAUGUACAACUUUGCAUCACCUCACAGAAGUCUUUCCUGUUUUUUUUUUUUUGAUCAUCUCGUUUGUCAUUUCUUAUGGUGCAAAUUUUCUUUGGAGAAUUUUCUAUUUUCUUUGGGGAAUCUUUAAGAAGUUAUGUAGUGGGAGCAUCUAGGUAACACAGUGGAUAGAACACCAGGGCUGGAGUCAGAAGAACCUGGGUUCAAAUCUGUCAUCAGACACUUCCUAGCUGUGUAUGACCUUAUUUAAUUCCUUUACCC
rnacentral:lncRNA from 1 species